UGAAGAAUUUGUCCAACGGCGGGGGAUAGCCGGCCCAACGGCCGGGUAAUACCGCGUACGACCCUCGGGGGGCAUCCCCUGAAGGUGAAAGCCGCAAGGCGCCGAUGGAGAACUUCGCGGCCUAUCAGCUAGUUGGUGAGGUCAUGGCUCACCAAGGCGACGACGGGUAGCUGGUCCGAGAGGAUGACCAGCCACAUUGGGACUGAGACACGGCCCAGACUCCUACGGGAGGCAG
rnacentral:rRNA from 1 species